AUUUUCACAACGCUCACCUGAAUGUUGCGAAAAGGCAACGUUGGUUGAACCCUUAUACUGAAACUUUAAAGUAUAUAUCCUUCCUUUUCUAUUCGCCUAAACAUCAGCAUAGUCACUUGUAUCUAUCUCAAACCCUACCAAUCGACCAUAUUUUCCCCUCUUCCAUAGAAAGCAAAUCUAUCCCUAUCCCUCUCUUUCCAUUAAAGAACAGUUUCUAGACUCUUCCUCUUUUUUUCUUCGAGCUUCGAUUGGUGGGUUGGAAGUGGAGUCGACGAAUCGAAAUCUAACCCCAUUGCUCGACUGUCAAAAGAUUCGUUUGUUAGAAUGAUGUUUUUGUGACCCCUCUAUCAACUUUUAUGGCUAAGGAAGAGGAUAUUCAGAAGAGGAAAAUGGAGAUUCAAGAGAGAGUUCUAGCACAAAUGGAUCGUAUUGAACAAGAAAAUAGGCAUUUGGGCCGCUAUCUGUGAGGUAUUUUCUUGGGUUAUUUUACGUUUUUAAUGGGUUUGUUUUUAUGGAUCUGUACGGAAUUAGGAAGAGGGUCUGAAAUUUAUGGACAAGAAAAUUGAAGUUUUAAUCGGGUUUCCAUGAUCUGUUCUUUUACGUGGAAAAAGGAUUUUUUUCAUAUGGUUUAUGUUAUGGAUACGCAAAGAUUUCCAUAUUUUUUAAAUUCGUUUUCAUCACUUCUAAAUUGUAGCUCAGCAAAUUGAAACUAGAAUCUUAAUCAAUAAAUUUUUUAAUGACUUUAUAAAGCACUUAUAGUUGUACAGAUUAACUGUAUUAAUCUAACUCUCAUAAUCACUCAGACCAAAUUUCCUUCAUCCAAUGUAGGAGGGGGCUGAACCAAGAGCUGUUAUUUGUCUUUUUGCUAUUGUAAUUUUUUAGCAUUGCCUUUGGGAGAUAAAGCUACUGUUAUGCCCUAAAUUAAUUUCUUUAACUGAAUUCUAAUUUGUAGAUGUCGAAUUAAAAAAAAAUUGCAUUUUGAUCCAAAGGAGUAAGGAUAAAUUUUACGAAUCAUUUUAGAGGAUAUCAUACUGCUUACAAGUUUUAUGCAAAGCUACAGACUGAAACUGAGAUUGACUAUGGACCUUUCUUAUGAAACUAGUGGCGUUAAUGAGAAUAUGCUGAAAACACAUUUUAUUUUAUAAUGCAGAAGCUUAUGAACUUGACUAAGGUUGAAUUCUUUGAUUUAUGUGAAGUUUUCAUUUGCCUCCACACGUUCAUAAUUUCUGCAUUAGACUUCUGAUGCUUAAUGCAGAGCUACAAAGCCUGAUGCAGUGAUUUUUAAUGUUCAAGUCAAUGUGUUGUAACUAAUCCUGAUAAAAAAGGAGUACGGUUGCUCUGUGCCACUUUCUUUAUCUAUUAUCUAUACUAUUGGCAAGAAAACAGAUUUUAUGAGAUAAUUUACAUAAUAGGAGUUUAACUUUGUAACUAGUUUCAUUUUUGAAGCAUAAUUUAGAGGACAAUUUACUUUUUGCAAUUUCAUAUGUCAAUUGGUUGUUCUUCACUCAUUGUCAUCCCAGUAGUGAGAGAACUAUUUUUUGCAAAAUUUAUCAACUAAUAGUCGGGUUUCUUGCCAAAUCCAGACUCAUUUUAAAUGAGAUUAUCAAAUAAUUUAUCUAUGUUUUUAAGGGCUAAUAGAUGGGUUUAGUUUUAGCCCUAGAAUUAACAGAACAUUAACAAUUAACCAUUUCAAUUAUGGAUUUCAUGUCUUUUCAUAGCAUGUAUUUCAUGUCUUGGCGAAUAUGACUGGUGAAAGCUAUAGCUCAAUUAUCAGAUUAAUAAUUAAGAUGCAUACCAUAAAUAAAUGGUACCCCAAAUAGUGCCUGCAACUAGACCUGCAGUUGCGCCUUUAUGGUCUUAAUCAAUGGACUUGUUUUUAUCUUCCAUCUGUCUAAGCUCCAUCUGAUCCAUUGCUUUGUUUUAAAAACUGAAUUGGCAGUCAUCUGUGAGGGGGGAGAGAGAGAGAGUGUGUGACGGUAAGGUUAUCUUGUGAAAUAUUGGAUGCUUUUAUAUUUGUAAGGUGUUUUGAAAGAUGCUUUUUAUACAUGUAAGAAGCUGUUUUCUAAAUAUUUCUCUUCAGUAAAACUAGUGAUGUUAAGGAUAUGGUGUUUGUCUCUAGCCAUCUACUUAGCUUAUGAUGUUUGAUAUCUCUACAGGGUUCAAGUCAUAAAAAAUAUGCGAUGGUAUAGCUUACAUUCGCAGGCGAAGAGAGGUGGAGUUCUAAUGUGAUCCUCUUUUGUAUACAUUGAGGCUUGCAUUUUUCAGUUUGGUUAUUUUUUUGCAAUUUUUGUGUUCUGAGGCAGAUUAUUUAUCUCUGGUUAUAUCUAUAUCUAUUUUAUUACCAUUAUUUGUCUCUGGAGGAUACAAAAUGAAAUUGAUAACAUAUUGGCUGUGAGUUUUCAUGUUCUCUUUAAGUACAAACAUCAUUAGUUUAUGGACCAAUUUUAGUCUUGACCAAUGCAUUCAUAAAAAUCUAUUACAUAUUCUACGCCUUCAGCCAGUUUAUGUUUUGUCCAGCCUUUAACUUAUUUCAAUAGAUAACUAAAUCUCUAUUGUAUUAUUUGAAUUCAGGUUCAUACUCGAUCUGAGUUUUCUGAGGACAAGCUUCUCUUUGGCGAUUAUGAAGGUUGAAUUUACCCAUUGCAUUCAAAAGAUAGUUGCAGGCCAAGAAGAAAGUAAUGGGAAGGAUUUUUUAGAGUUAGCCAACCCAACGGUUUGAAGACAACAAGUUGUAAAUUAUCUUCUUUUAUACAAUAAUUUUCUAUUGUUUAAGAGGAGUGUAAGAUGAUGUUUAUUUGAUGAACAAUAUGUAAAUCAAAAUUAUAUCAAUUUAAGGCCCA
rnacentral:lncRNA from 1 species